ACCUUCUCCCAUUUAAGUCAAUG
rnacentral:miRNA from 7 species